AUUGAACGCUGGCGGCAUGCCUUACACAUGCAAGUCGAACGGUAACAGGUCUUCGGAUGCUGACGAGUGGCGAACGGGUGAGUAAUACAUCGGAACGUGCCUAGUAGUGGGGGAUAACUACUCGAAAGAGUGGCUAAUACCGCAUGAGAUCUACGGAUGAAAGCAGGGGAUCGCAAGACCUUGUGCUACUAGAGCGGCCGAUGGCAGAUUAGGUAGUUGGUUGGAUAAAAGCUUACCAAGCCGACGAUCUGUAGCUGGUCUGAGAGGACGAUCCAGCACACUGGGACUGAGAAACGGGCCGGAAUCCUACGGGAGGCAGCAGUGGGGAAGUUUGGACAAUGGGCGCAAGCCUGAUCCAGCAAUGCCGCGUGCAGGAUGAAGGCCUUCGGGUUGUAAACUGCUUUUGUACGGAACGAAAAGCCACGGGUUAAUACCCUGGGGUCAUGACGGUACCGUAAGAAUAAGCACCGGCUAACUACGUGCCAGCCGCCGCGGUAA
rnacentral:rRNA from 1 species